UUUCCGUAGGUGAACCUGCGGAAGGAUCAUUACUGGAUUUUGAAACUUCAGGCUGCUGCUGGCUCUCCUCGGAGGGCAUGUGCACGCUUGUUGUCCAUUAUUUCUCCCACUGUGCACAAAUUGUAGACCUUUCAGUAGGCCUAUGUUGUUUUUCACAAUCUCUGAAUGUAAUAAAAUGGUUUUGAAUCUUGGGAAAUACAAUACAACUUUCAGCAACGGAUCUCUUGGCUCUG
rnacentral:misc_RNA from 1 species